UAUUGGGCAAUGGGCGAAAGCCUGACCCAGCAACGCCGCGUGAAGGAAGAAGGUCUUCGGAUUGUAAACUUCUUUUAUGAGGGACGAAGGACGUGACGGUACCUCAUGAAUAAGCCACGGCUAACUACGUGCCAGCAGCCGCGGUAAUACGUAGGUGGCAAGCGUUAUCCGGAUUUACUGGGUGUAAAGGGCGCGUAGGCGGGGAUGCAAGUCAGAUGUGAAAUCUAUGGGCUUAACUCAUAAACUGCAUUUGAAACUGUAUCUCUUGAGUGCUGGAGAGGUAGACGGAAUUCCUUGUGUAGCGGUGAAAUGCGUAGAUAUAAGGAAGAACACCAGUGGCGAAGGCGGUCUACUGGACAGUAACUGACGCUGAGGCGCGAAAGCGUGGGGAGCAAACAGGA
rnacentral:rRNA from 1 species